UACGUAGGGGGCAAGCGUUAUCCGGAUUUACUGGGUGUAAAGGGAGCGCAGACGGCUGUGUAAGUCUGAAGUGAAAACCCAAGGCUCAACCAUGGGAUUGCUUUGGAAACUAUACGGCUUGAGUACCGGAGGGGUAAGCGGAAUUCCUAGUGUAGCGGUGAAAUGCGUAGAUAUUAGGAAGAACACCGGUGGCGAAGGCGGCUUACUGGACGGUAACUGACGUUGAGGCUCGAAAGCGUGGGGAG
rnacentral:rRNA from 1 species